rnacentral:rRNA from 1 species
UACGUGAGCCCCAAGCGUUAUCCGGAUUUAUUGGGCGUAAAGCGUCUGUAGGCUGUUUUAUGCGUCAUAUGUCAAAUCUUCGGGCUUAACCCGAAGGCUGCGUGUGAUACGGUAAGACUAGAGGUUGGGAGAGGUACAUGGAAUUACUGGUGUAGCGGUAAAAUGCGUUAAUAUCAGUAAGAACACCAAAGGCGAAAGCAAUGUACUUGAACAAUCCUGACGCUCAGAGACGAAAGCGUGGGUAGCGAAUGGG